rnacentral:snoRNA from 1 species
CCUGCCCCUAGAAUCAUUGCAAGUGUGGCUGCUAUGUCACAUGUUGACCACUAGGUGGCAGAGGAGAGACGAUGCCUAUGCUCUGAUUAGUAGCCCAACAUU